UAACACCUACCCUUAGUAUGCAUGAUUCACUCUGAUAUCCUAGUCUACUUCCAUUCCAGUCUUUGUGUUCUGUUGAAAGAAUUUUUUUAAAAAACAUAAUUCCUCUCCCACUCUGUUGGUUUCAGGUUGUUAUUAGCAGAACUCUGGAGCCAUGCUGCCUUAACAAACCCAAUUUUCCUGGUGGACACUGCUAUUACCUAGGGCUCUUGGCAUCGUGUUUUCAGGGGCUGCCUCAGAUUGUGCAAUGAAGUGAAGUGGAAAAUUCAAAACUUUUAUUCUACCCAUUCUUUCAUCUGCCGUCUAGGCAGGCUACAAACCUCCCCAACAUCUCUGCCGCUAACCCCCUCCAACAGACACUGCAAGUGUCACACACAAGUACCAGCUCAACACAGUCUCCAGUCUCACUCUGGGCUUUCCCUGUUUUGUUGUGUAGAUUUUCUUGCUGAUACUGGUGUUUUACUUUCUGUUUCCAUUCUAUAAAUUUACAGGGUUGAUUUGGGAAGCAGAGCACAGCAGCCCAAAUUUGCUUGUAAUGUCGGCGGCUACAGAGGAAAGGCCAAGAAUGGACAGAUUAAUAAAGGGCCAUCUACAAGCCACGAAUAAGGCCAUCACCAGAAGCCAACCCCGCCAGUCCUUGAUCUAGGACUUCCAGACUUCAAAACUGUGAGAAAAAAAAUAAAUUUCUGUUGUUUUA